rnacentral:rRNA from 1 species
AGCGGAGGAAAAGAAACCCACCGGGAUUGCCUUAGUAACGGCGAGUGAAGCGGCAAAAGCUCAAAUUUGAAAUCUGGUACCUUCGGUGCCCGAGUUGUAAUUUGGAGAGGGCAACUUUGGGGCCGUUCCUUGUCUAUGUUCCUUGGAACAGGACGUCAUAGAGGGUGAGAAUCCCGUGUGGCGAGGAGUGCGGUUCUUUGUAAAGUGCCUUCGAAGAGUCGAGUUGUUUGGGAAUGCAGCUCUAAGUGGGUGGUAAAUUCCAUCUAAAGCUAAAUAUUGGCGAGAGACCGAUAGCGAACAAGUACAGUGAUGGAAAGAUGAAAAGAACUUUGAAAAGAGAGUGAAAAAGUACGUGAAAUUGUUGAAAGGGAAGGGCAUUUGAUCAGACAUGGUGUUUUGUGCCCUCUGCUCCUUGUGGGUAGGGGAAUCUCGCAUUUCACUGGGCCAGCAUCAGUUUUGGUGGCAGGAUAAAUCCAUAGGAAUGUAGCUUGCCUCGGUAAGUAUUAUAGCCUGUGGGAAUACUGCCAGCUGGGACUGAGGACUGCGACGUAAGUCAAGGAUGCUGGCAUAAUGAUUAUAUGCCGCC